AUGGGUAAGUUAAGCCUAUUGUACCUGAAUGACAGCAACCAUCUGGCCAAUUAUUCAGGCAUCAAUUCGCUAAAUGCAGAGAUGCGCCGGCGAAUACGGUGGACAUGAAAAUUCCCUGCUUUUCGCGGGCAUACUGGGGGAAUAAGUUACGGGGUCCUCUCAGUGCUCUAACAGGUGCAGACCAUUUCUCCAAGUGCCUAUAUAUGUGUCCUAUCAGUAAUUAGGUGCAUGCACAGAUUUGAUGCUUCUAGACGCAUACCCGUUUUGGCGAAUCAUGAUAAACAAAUCCC
rnacentral:lncRNA from 1 species